rnacentral:rRNA from 1 species
GAUGAACGCUGGCGGCGUGCCUAAUACAUGCAAGUCGAGCGAACAGACGAGGAGCUUGCUCCUCUGACGUUAGCGGCGGACGGGUGAGUAACACGUGGAUAACCUACCUAUAAGACUGGGAUAACUUCGGGAAACCGGAGCUAAUACCGGAUAAUAUAUUGAACCGCAUGGUUCAUUAGUGAAAGACGGUUUUGCUGUCACUUAUAGAUGGAUCCGCGCUGCAUUAGCUAGUUGGUAAGGUAACGGCUUACCAAGGCAACGAUGCGUAGCCGACCUGAGAGGGUGAUCGGCCACACUGGAACUGAGACACGGUCCAGACUCCUACGGGAGGCAGCAGUAGGGAAUCUUCCGCAAUGGGCGAAAGCUUGACGGAGCAACGCCGCGUGAGUGAUGAAGGUCUUCGGAUCGUAAAACUCUGUUAUUAGGGAAGAACAAAUGUGUAAGUAACUGUGCACGUCUUGACGGUACCUAAUCAGAAAGCCACGGCUAACUACGUG